rnacentral:sRNA from 1 species
CUCGGAGCCGUUGGGUCGGUUCCUGCUAUUCCGGCGCCUCCACUCCGUCCCCCGCGGGUCUGCUCUGUGUGCCAUGGACGGCAUUGUCCCAGAUAUAGCCGUUGGUACAAAGCGGGGAUCUGACGAGCUUUUCUCUACUUGUGUCACUAACGGACCGUUUAUCAUGAGCAGCAACUCGGCCUCUGCAGCAAACGGAAAUGACAGCAAGAAGUUCAAAGGUGACAGCAGAAGCGCCGGCGUCCCCUCUAGAGUGAUCCACAUCCGGAAGCUCCCCAUCGACGUCACAGAAGGGGAAGUCAUCUCCCUGGGGCUGCCCUUUGGGAAGGUCACCAACCUCCUGAUGCUGAAGGGGAAAAACCAGGUACCUGAGCCGCGUUUCUCCGGGGCGCUCGCACCGCGCAGGCGGGGAGGAGGAGGGCCCAGCGCUCACUGCCUCCCCCACAGGCCUUCAUCGAGAUGAACACGGAGGAGGCUGCCAACACCAUGGUCAACUACUACACCUCGGUGACACCCGUGCUGCGCGGCCAGCCCAUCUACAUCCAGUUCUCCAACCACAAGGAGCUGAAGACCGACAGCUCCCCCAACCAGGCGCGGGCCCAGGCGGCCCUGCAGGCUGUGAACUCGGUCCAGUCGGGGAACCUG